GGUCCGUAAUUAGAUUAUGGCAAAUUUUACUACAUGAUACUCAAAGUUUGUGGCAUUUGCUGCUAGACACCCAAAGAACGUGUUACUUCCUAUGGACACUGCAAAAAUGUGAUAAUUAGCAGCUGGAUAUCCGAGGCAUUAUUUUAUUAUUUUAGAUAAAAAAAGAGAGAGAAAGAGCCUUGAAAGUAUCGAAAUACCCCUAGAAAUAUUCUACUUCCUCUUUUCUUUCAUCUCAUCUCACCCUGCCUUCCCGAGCAGCCGUGGGUGGCUGCAGCCACGGGGAGCGGCACGAUAGCUUCCCAGCUGUACGCGUGUGGGUCGCGUGUCCCCGUCACCGCGUGCCCUCGAUGUCCAGCACCACGCGUGGUGUGCCGGCACGAGCGGCCGCACCGUGCUCGGGAAGUCGGAGGCGCUCCGCGACAUCGCGAUGAUGAGCGAGUGCACCACCACUCCCAGCUCCAGCACCUCCACCAACAAGGAUGCGCAAAGCGAAAUCGAUUAAGAAAAUAAGAACAACAAUUUUGAUUUGAUUUUUUUCUUAAUUUUGUUGCAUUUUUUUGGCCAUCGGUUUAGAUUUCCUUCCUUCCUACACGGUCCGCACUCACCCACGCACUAGGUUGCUUGCUGCUCUCGCCGUUCGCCGUUGCUUCGCGGCAAGCAUCGAUCGAGCUAGUGAAGAUAGAUAUGUGCGGCGGCGCCAUCCCGCUGAUCAACAGCCACGGCCCUGGCGGCAAGAGGAGCUAGCCUCUCCGUAGCCGAUGAACUCUGGCCGCCGCGGCGCCGCCGCAGCACGCCAGCGACGACGACUUCACCAAUUCACCACCACCACCGCUGUAGCUCCACCGGCCGAGCAAGCGGCGGACGAGGAGGAGCAGUCGAUGGCGAGGGGAGCGGAGGACGCUAUACCGGGGAAUCCGGCGCAGGCCGUGGGGGAAGUGGGAGGCGGAGAUCCGCGACCAUGGAAUAUAAUAAAAUAAUGAGGCAGGUGUCCAGCAGCUAAUUACCAUAUUUUUCAGUCUCUAUGAGAAGAUACACUUUUAUUGGGUGUCUCACAGCAAAAACCACAAACUUUGAGUGUCUUGUAGAAAAAUUUGUCUUAGAUUAUCGCCCAAAGACCAUGUGUUAUGUGCAUUUAGGUUCACAAGUACAAAAAAAGGUAAGGGGCAUAUGUUUACACCUAAAUUUGACACCUAGAUGCGAAAGAGAAAUAUUGUAAAAAUUUCGAAGGCGUCGUCGGGUUUCUUUCAUGGAGUUGGUCAGACCACCAUAUAUAGGCCGGUUUGACCGAUGUGUACGGUUGGUUUGAUCGGCGGCAUGUGACCAGCCAGACCGGUAGAGUGCGAGUUCAUGUCGAAUUUUGUCAGGUCUCGGGUUUCCUUGCAUAGAGAGGUGAUUUUCGAGUUCUAAUUGAUCUCUACCUUGAAUUUGAUGUGAAAGAGAUCUGUAUUGGAGGCAAGACCAACACCUUUAUAAGAGACAAGACCGGUUCAAUUAGAGACAAUCUACUUUCAAC